rnacentral:rRNA from 1 species
GAACGCGAAGAACCUUACCAAGGCUUGACAUGCACGGCGGCACUGCAGAGAUGUGGUGGCAUUUAGUUGGUCGUGUGCAGGUGGUGCAUGGUUGUCGUCAGCUCGUGUCGUGAGAUGUUGGGUUAAGUCCCGCAACGAGCGCAACCCUUGCCCUAUGUUGCCAGCACGUGAUGGUGGGGACUCGUGGGGGACUGCCGGGGUUAACUCGGAGGAAGGUGGGGAUGACGUCAAAUCAUCAUGCCCUUAUGUCUUGGGCUUCACGCAUGCUACAAUGGUUGGUACAGAGGGUUGCGAAAUCGUGAGGUGGAGCGAAUCCCUUAAAGCCAGUCUCAGUUCGGAUUGGGGUCUGCAACUCGACCCCAUGAAGGUGGAGUCGCUAGUAAUCGCAGAUCAGCAACGCUGCGGUGAAUACGUUCUCGGGUCUUGUACACACC